AUUAGGGUGUCGGAAUAUUUAUCGUAUAAGUUUUAAGCUCUUAUUAUAUCUGUGAGAUUCAGUUACUUAGUG
rnacentral:tRNA from 1 species